UCGCAGUUCACACAGUGGGAGUUCCGUGC
rnacentral:piRNA from 1 species